rnacentral:lncRNA from 1 species
GGAGAAGACAGCUGAAGGUGAGCCAAAGGACAAGAUUGCCCUGCUGACCCUAUAGGGGCAGGUAUAUGUUCCUUCCGUGGCUUCUCGAGCUGUGGUCUGUGGAGUAGGAAUAGCGCAUGAGGUCAUUCCUGCUGAUACCCACAAUGAAACAUUAGAAAAGCAUACGCGACAAUUGGUAUGUCAGUGGGGAAGGACUAAUGUGCCGCAUUGCCCUUUCCUCAUCAAACCGGGCUGUACAGAAUUGCUCUGGCCAUUGUUUAUUUGCAGAUCGAUAUCACUAUUCUUUGGGUUUUGUUGUUGGUUGGUUGGUUUUCUUGCUUGUCCCUUCCUUAUUUGUACAUAUUCUUUUAUUCCAUCUUUUUUCAAUUCCUUUUUGGGCUCGAUGCUGUGAACAGCAGCUGGCAUCGUUGUGUAACCAACUCUCCCAAGUCCCUCGCCCUUCCUGACAAAGCAGCAUCAGCUCAGGUCCCAGCUGAGCUCUCGUUUCUCACUGCUGCAGGGCAAUGCUCGGAGAUGUGCACAGCGCAGGGGAUGACAAUUUGCUGACCUGGACAGGGACCAAGUGUGUGUGUCCUGGUUGGGUGGCUGCAUAACGCUGCCAGCAUGUAUAUAUUAUCCAUCUCUCCCCACCCUGGCCUAACCCAGAUGCUGCAUGACUGAUUGUACCCCAGAGAAGCUCCAGCCUCUUCAGGACAAACUAUGGAAUAACCACCAGCCUUGGGUAAAAGAAACAUGUGCAAGUCCCAGCUCCAGCGGAAGUGCAGAUUUCUUACAUAUAAAAAACCAGCACAGUAAAAUAGGAGCGAAUGAUUCUGUGCUCACCCAGUGCACGGAAAACUGCAAAGCAAGGCUUUCAGCGAGAUCCUCCCUGUGUAAGCAAGGAGUCUAUUGUCAGCCUGUUUCCCAGUUCUCAGGAAACAGAACCAGACUUAAGGACUCGCUGUGUGGCAAGCGAGAGUGCUUUUUGAAAAGUGAUGUUGAAAACUCGUGCAGGGAGGGACAGCCCUUCCCCAUGUGCCCUCACCACAGGGAGUGCACUGCUGGCAAAGGCAGAGCUGUUGUCAGUGGGAGAACCAAAGCUCUCCAGUCGCAGACAGACUGGGAUACCAAAGCCAUCCAGCAAACAAUUAAUAACAGCCUGGUGCUGUCAUUGUGUUGCUAA